AUGCAGUCGAACGAUGAACCACUUCGGUGGGGAUUAGUGGCGAACGGGUGAGUAACACGUGGGCAAUCUGCCCUGCACUCCGGGACAAGCCCUGGAAACGGGGUCUAAUACCGGAUACCCGUCCCCGCCCGCAUGGGCGGGGACGGAAAGCUCCGGCGGUGCAGGAUGAGCCCGCGGCCUAUCAGCUGGUUGGUGAGGUAACGGCUCACCAAGGCGACGACGGGUAGCCGGCCUGAGAGGGCGACCGGCCACACUGGGACUGAGACACGGCCCAGACUCCUACGGGAGGCAGCAGUGGGGAAUAUUGCACAAUGGGCGCAAGCCUGAUGCAGCGACGCCGCGUGAGGGACGACGGCCUUCGGGUUGUAAACCUCUUUCAGCAGGGAAGAAGCGCAAGUGACGGUACCUGCAGAAGAAGCGCCGGCUAACUACGUGCCAGCAGCCGCGGUAAUACGUAGGGCGCGAGCGUUGUCCGGAAUUAUUGGGCGUAAAGAGCUCGUAGGCGGCCUGUCGCGUCGGUUGUGAAAGCCCGGGGCUCAACCCCGGGUCUGCAGUCGAUACGGGCAGGCUAGAGUUCGGUAGGGAGAUCGGAAUUCCUGGUUGUAGCGGUGAAUGCGCAGAUAUCAGAGGAACACCGGUGGCGAAGGCGGAUCUCUGGGCCCGAUACUGACGCUGAGGAGCGAAAGCGUGGGGAGCGAACAGGAUUAGAUACCCUGGUAGUCCACGCCGUAAACGGUGGG
rnacentral:rRNA from 1 species